rnacentral:rRNA from 1 species
CGAAGGGGGCGUAGCGUUGCUCGGAAUCACUGGGCGUAAAGCGCACGUAGGCGGAUCUUUAAGUCAGAGGUGAAAUCCCAAGGCUCAACCUUGGAACUGCCUUUGAUACUGGGGGAUCUCGAGUCCGGAAGAGGUUGGUGGAACUGCGAGUGUAGAGGUGAAAUUCGUAGAUAUUCGCAAGAACACCAGUGGCGAAGGCGGCCAACUGGUCCGGUACUGACGCUGAGGUGCGAAAAGCGUGGGGGAGCAAACAGGAUU